CAGGGAGACAACAAAAUGUUUAAUAUUAUUAUUUUGUCACCUUAGGUCGAUCGGUAUCUCACGUUUUUAAUUUAUUAAGAAUUUCAUUUCCUAAGUUUUUCUAGGUCACACCCAUUAUUUUUCCUGGGCCAUUAGCUCAGGUGGUUAGAGCGCACCCCUGAUAAGGGUGAGGUCCCUGGUUCAAGUCCAGGAUGGCCCAUAUCUCUAUGUUGGGGGUAUAGCUCAGUUGGUAGAGCGCCUGCUUUGCAAGCAGGAUGUCAGCGGUUCGAGUCCGCUUACCUCCACUGAUUACCACCUCUUCCAUAACUGUAGAAAGGAAAUGUUUUGAGUUGUGAUCAAAUUCUGAACGAAUCUAGCUUCUUAAUAAUCUUUAUUAGGAUGCUGGACUCAUUGAAUUAAUUUCAUUGUUUUCAGAGAACCUUGACAACUGCAUAGAUUAUUUUUAAAGACAAUAAGCAUCUUUAAUGAUGCAGAUUUAUUAUUUGUGCGAAUGCAUUAAUAACAAUUCUAUUAAGCUGAUGCUUCGAUUUUCGAAGUUAUU
rnacentral:tRNA from 1 species